rnacentral:rRNA from 1 species
UACGAAGGGGGCUAGCGUUGUUCGGAAUUACUGGGCGUAAAGCGUGCGCAGGCGGCUUCUCAAGUCAGGGGUGAAAGCCCAGAGCUCAACUCUGGAAUUGCCUUUGAGACUGAGUGGCUUGAGUACGAGAGAGGUGAGUGGAAUUCCCAGUGUAGAGGUGAAAUGCGCAGAUAUCAGGAAGAACACCCGUGGCGAAAGCGGCUCUCUGGAACGGUACUGACGCUGAGACGCGAAAGCGUGGGGAGCGAACAGG